UACGUAGGGGGCAAGCGUUGUCCGGAAUUACUGGGCGUAAAGGGCGUGUAGGCGGUUUUUUAAGUCAGAUGUGAAAGUUCGGGGCUCAACCUCGGAAUCGCAUUUGAAACUGGAGAACUUGAGUACUGGAGAGGUAAGUGGAAUUCCUAGUGUAGCGGUGAAAUGCGUAGAUAUUAGGAGGAACACCAGUGGCGAAGGCGACUUACUGGACAGAUACUGACGCUGAGGCGCGAAGGCGACUACCUGGACC
rnacentral:rRNA from 1 species